GACGAACGCUGGCGGCGUGCUUAACACAUGCAAGUCGAACGGAAAGGCCCCUUCGGGGGUCCUCGAGUGGCGAACGGGUGAGUAACACGUGAGUAACCUGCCCUUGACUUCGGGAUAACUUCAGGAAACUGGGGCUAAUACCGGAUAGGAAUCCUUGCUGCAUGGUGGGGGUUGGAAAGCUUCGGCGGUUUUGGAUGGACUCGCGGCUUAUCAGCUUGUUGGUGGGGUAGUGGCUUACCAAGGCUUUUACGGGUAGCCGGCCUGAGAGGGCGACCGGCCACAUUGGGUCUGAGAGACGGCCCAGGCUCCGACGGGUGGCAGCAGUGGGGAAUAUUGCACGAGGGGCGGAAGCCUGAUGCAGCAACGCCGCGUGCGGGAUGACGGCCUUCGGGUUGUAAACCGCUUUCAGCAGGGGCGAAGCUUGUGGUGACGGUACCUGCAGAAGAAGCACCGGCUAACUACGUG
rnacentral:rRNA from 1 species